rnacentral:lncRNA from 1 species
ACAACAUCAUCUCUCACUACCUCUAUUAUCUCGACUUGUUGGGCGUGGGGCGAGAGCAAGCAGGACCCCACGAAGUGCUCUCCUGCGCCGAACAGGUUCCGUUCAAUCCAUCUACUACCAAAUCAUCGUCUUGAAUUCCUAUCUGAAUCUCUCUUAUAAUAAGAUUUGUGUUGGGCCACCUCUCCUGUAUUCGUGUGAUUAUUGAAUUUGUAAUAUGUCGACUGCUUUUGCUCUGCUUCAUUGCUAUAUAUACAGGUUUUGUGAAUUCAAAUUGUUUGUGUUGCUAGUGUAUCAUUAAG